rnacentral:rRNA from 1 species
CCUACGGGUGGCAGCAGUAGGGAAUCAUGCUCAAUGGGGGAAACCCUGAAGCAGCAACGCCGCGUGGAGGAUGAAGGUUUUAGGAUUGUAAACUCCUUGUGAUAGAGAAGAUUAUGACGGUAAUAAACGAACAAGCACCGGCUAAAUCUGUGCCUGCAGCCGCGGUAAUACGGAGGGUGCAAGCGUUACUCGGAUUCACUGGGCGUAAAGCGUGCGUAGGCGGGGUAAUAAGUCAGAUGUGAAAUCCUGUAGCUUAACAACAGAACUGCAUUUGAAACUGUUACUCUAGAGUGUGGGAGAGGUAGGUGGAAUUCUUGGUGUAGGGGUAAAAUCCGUAGAGAUCGAGAGGAAUACUCGUGGCGAAGGCGAGCUGCUGGAACAUUACUGACGCUGAGGCACGAAAGCGUGGGGAGCGAACAGGAUGAGAUACCCCUGUAGUC